rnacentral:rRNA from 1 species
AGCCAGGUAACUGGUGGAGGUGACCGGUACUAAUAGGCCGAGGGCUUGUCCUCAGUUGCUCGCGUCCACUGUGUUAGUUCUGAGGCAACGACCGUUGCCGGCUUUGAGCGGAACACAUAACUGAAGAGUGUGCUUGUUCGCUCGAAACCAUUAGGGUUUCGGUGGUUAUAGCGUGAGGGAAACGCCCGGUUACAUUCCGAACCCGGAAGCUAAGCCUUACAGCGCCGAUGGUACUGCAGGGGGGACCCUGUGGGAGAGUAGGACGCCGCCGAAC